rnacentral:rRNA from 1 species
UAUUGGACAAUGGGGGCAACCCUGAUCCAGCAAUGCCGCGUGUGUGAAGGAGGUCUUCGGAUUGUAAAGCACUUUCGACGGGGACGAUGNUGACGGUACCCGUAGAAGAAGCCCCGGCUAACUUCGUGCCAGCAGCCGCGGUAAUACGAAGGGGGGCUAGCGUUGCUCGGAAUGACUGGGCGUGAAGGGCGUGUAGGCGGUUUACACAGUCAGAUGUGAAAUCCCCGGGCUUAACCUGGGAGCUGCAUUCGAUACGUGUAGACUAGAGUGUGAGAGAGGGUUGUGGAAUUCCCAGUGUAGAGGUGAAAUUCGUUGAUAUUGGGAAGAACACCGGUGGCGAAGGCGGCAACCUGGCUCAUGACUGACGCUGAGGCGCGAAAGCGUGGGGAGCAAACAGG